rnacentral:rRNA from 1 species
AUACCGCAUAACACUUUAGUACCGCAUGGUACAGAAGUCAAAGCAUAAUGUGCUGAGAGAUGGUCUCGCGUCUGAUUAGCUAGAUGGCGGGGUAACGGCCACCAUGGCGACGAUCAGUAGCCGGUCUGAGAGGAUGAACGGCCACAUUGGGACUGAGAUACGGCCCAGACUCCUACGGGAGGCAGCAGUGGGGAAUAUUGGGCAAUGGGGGAAACCCUGACCCAGCAACGCCGCGUGAAGGAAGAAGGCCUUCGGGUUGUAAACUUCUUUUAGCAGGGACGAAGGACGUGACGGUACCUGCAGAAAAAGCAACGGCUAACUACGUGCCAGCAGCCGCGGUAAUACGUAGGUUGCAAGCGUUGUCCGGAUUUACUGGGUGUAAAGGGCGUGUAGGCGGAGCUGCAAGUCAGAUGUGAAAUCCCGGGGCUCAACCCCGGAACUGCAUUUGAAACUGUAGCCCUUGAGUAUCGGAGAGGCAAGCGGAAUUCCUAGUGUAGCGGUGAAAUGCGUAGAUAUUAGGAGGAACACCAGUGGCGAAGGCGGCUUGCUGGACGACAACUGACGCUGAGGCGCGAAAGCGUGGGGAGCAAACAGGAUUAGAUACCCUGGUAGUCCACGCUGUAAACGAUGAAUACUAGGUGUGGGAGGACUGACCCCUUCCGUGCCGCAGUUAACACAAUAAGUAUUCCACCUGGGGAGUACGACCGCAAGGUUGAAACUCAAAGGAAUUGACGGGGGCCCGCACAAGCAGUGGAUUAUGUGGUUUAAUUCGACGCAACGCGAAGAACCUUACCAGGACUUGACAUCCAACUAACGAAGUAGAGAUACAUUAGGUGCCCUUCGGGGAAAGUUGAGACAGGUGGUGCAUGGUUGUCGUCAGCUCGUGUCGUGAGAUGUUGGGUUAAGUCCCGCAACGAGCGCAACCCCUAUUGUUAGUUGCUACGCAAGAGCACUCUAGCGAGACUGCCGUUGACAAAACGGAGGAAGGCGGGGACGACGUCAAAUCAUCAUGCCCCUUAUGUCCUGGGCUACACACGUAAUACAAUGGCCGUCAACAGAGGGAAGCGAAACUGCGAAGUGGAGCAAAUCCCUAAAAACGGUCUCAGUUCGGAUUGCAGGCU